AUACGGAGGGUCCAAGCGUUAUUCGGAAUCAUUGGGUUUAAAGGGUCUGCAGGCGGUCAAUUAAGUCAGAGGUGAAAGCCCAUCGCUCAACGAUGGAACUUCCUUUGAUACUGGUCGACUUGAGUUAUACGGAAGUAGAUAGAAUAAGUAGUGUAGCGGUGAAAUGCAUAGAUAUUACUUAGAAUACCGAUUGCGAAGGCAGUCUACUACGUAUAUACUGACGCUGAGGGACGAAAGCGUGGGGAGCGAACAGGAUUAGAAACCCUAGUAGUCC
rnacentral:rRNA from 1 species